rnacentral:rRNA from 1 species
UACGUAGGGUGCGAGCGUUAAUCGGAAUUACUGGGCGUAAAGCGUGCGCAGGCGGUUAUGUAAGUCAGUUGUGAAAUCCCCGGGCUCAACCUGGGAACUGCAUCUGUGACUGCAUAGCUAGAGUACGGUAGAGGGGGAUGGAAUUCCGCGUGUAGCAGUGAAAUGCGUAGAUAUGCGGAGGAACACCGAUGGCGAAGGCAAUCCCCUGGACCUGUACUGACGCUCAUGCACGAAAGCGUGGGGAGCAAACAGG